GCCACUUUCUUUUGACAUCCCACUUUCUCUCCUUCCUAUCAUCACUAAUACUUUUCUAAACUCUAUAAUUAGUUCUAAAGACUAAUUUUUUUGGCAUCCCUCAUCAACAUGGGCUUUCUCAAUCUUUAUUGUCUACACCUUAAUAACGUUCUUUCCACACACACAACAACCCGAUUCUCGCCUUCUUGGGUGAGAAAUAUUCUACCAAUAAAAUUAAAAACUUCUUAUGGCUCAUGCUACAAGCCAAACUACCAACCCUCUUAUUUCUCUCUAAUCACAAUAUUUUAAGUGAUCCUACAUGUCCAUUGUGCAGACACGCACCUGAAGAUAUUGACCAUAUAUUUUUUCAUUGUACCACUGCCUCUCAUAUAUGGCAACAUUUUAAUAUUCCCCUCCCACCACACUUCAGUCCAAAUUGGAUCAAGUGUUAUGUCUUCCACGCACUUCUCCUCCCAAUACUAUCCCGUUACAUAUCAUAGUUUCAAUCAUUUUCUGUUACAUUUGGAUCAACCGUAAUCAUAAUAUCUUAAACUUCACACCAUGCUCCAAUUAAUUUUCAUACCAUAUAUAACCAGAUAUCUCAAUUUUAUUACCUAGCUAACACAUACAAUCACCAACACAUACUAAAUAAGCGCAUUCCAAUCAAAUGGCACCCUUACCCCAAGGUUUCUAUAAGUUAAAUAUCUACAGAGCCUUUGAUAAUCGUUUCCACAAUGGUCGGGCAGUUGGAGUUUUUGCGAUCCUUCAAGAACUUGGGUGUAUGGCUUUACCAAACAUUUGAUAUAUACUGAUAUUCUACAAGCUGAACUUCUAGCUUCAUAUCAUGGUCUACUACUAGCGAAUGCUUGCCAUUUCAAACAAUUACAAGUGGAAUGAAUUCUCAGGUACUGCUACACAUCUUAUCAAAUGCACCACUAGAACAAUUACAUAUCAUUUUUGCAUACAGGUCGAUGCUCAAGAAACUCCAGGUAACCAUAAUCCAACACACAUUCAGGGAUGAUAAUGGUGUAGCGGAUGUAUUUAGCCAAGUAUGGAAAGACAAGAACAAAUCUACAACCUAAUGAUGUUCUACUUUUUGAAAAUUCACCUACUUUUACUUUAUUGCUUUUAGCUUCAGAUGUAAUUGGAACUAUAACAUACUAUUCAGUUCCAACUCAUGUAAUGCACCAAUUAUGUUUUAAUAAAAAUCUUAUUAGCAAAAAAAAAAAGGAGUUUUAUAAUCUCGCAUAUUAUGAUGAAAGGUUUCGUAUUAAAAUAAAAUAUGAAUUAUUUUUUAAUAACUUUACAAACGAUAAUUAUUUUUCAAUUAUCAGUCCGAAACUAACUAGUCGGUGCUAUUUUCAUCUAUUUUUCUGUACUAUCUGUGCAUAUCACCAAUUAUUUAACAUUUCUAAGAGGCAAAGAGUGGGUUAGAAAAAGUUCGAGUUGGGAGAUCUCGAGAGAACAGAGCGGCGAAAAAGAUUUGGUCAUGAAACACCAAAAUUUAAGUAGUGCAAAGUCAAAUUAAAAGUUUCUGAAGCAUAAUUAUGUAAUGCAAACUCUUGUCAUUUCCUGUGGUUCAGCUUAGAAUAUGCUAUAAUCUAACAUGAAAUUCAACUCCAAGCUUUUGCCUGCCAGUAAUUUUCUAUGAUUUGUUUUACGUAUAGGGUUGGAAGAUAGAGAGG
rnacentral:lncRNA from 1 species